rnacentral:rRNA from 1 species
UGACCAUAAACGAUGUCAACUAAGGAUUGGAUAAGAAACAUCGAAGUAUGAGCCUUUUUCUCCAACUUGUUGGAAAAAAAGCGUUUCGCUUCAUUUCUUCCCUUAUUCAGGACUUGAUGAGAAAUCAUUAAGUGAAUGGACUUCAGGGGGAGUAUGGUCACAAGGCUGAAACUUAAAGGAAUUGACGGAAGGGCACACCAGGAGUGGAGCCUGCGGCUUAAUUUGACUCAACACGG